AUUCCGGUUGAUCCUGCCGGACCAGACUGCUGUUGGAGUUCGACUAAGCCAUGCAAGUCUUCCGGAAGGAGGCGAAAGGCUGAGUAACACGUAGGUAACCUACCUUAUGGAGGGGCAUACCCUCGGGAAACUGAGGAUAAUUCCCCAUAGGAUUUGGUGACUGGAAUGUCCCAAAACCCAAAGCUUCGGCGCCAUAAGAUGGGCCUGCGGCCUAUCAGGUUGUUGGCGGGGUAAUGGCCCACCAAGCCUUUGACGGGUAGGGGCAGUGAGAGCUGAAGCCCCCAGACGGGCACUGAGAUACUGGCCCGAGCCUUACGGGGUGCAGCAGGCGCGAAACCUUUACAAUGCACGCAAGUGUGAUAAGGGAACUCCAAGUGCCAUUGCUUUUUGCAAUGGCUUUUUUUGAGUGUAAACAGCUCUAGGAAUAAGAGCUGGGUAAGACAGGUGCCAGCAGCCGCGGUAAUACCUGCAGCUCAAGUGGUCUGGAUUUUUAUUGGGUCUAAAGCGUUUGUAGCCGGACUCGCAAGUCUUCUGUGAAAUCUGACGGCUUAACCGUCAGGCGUGCAGGGGAAACUACAAGUCUAGGGACCGGGAAGGGCCAAAGAUACUCUAGGGGUAGGGGUGAAAUCCAAUAAUCCUUAGGGGAUCGCCAGUGGCGAAGGCGUUUGGCUAGAACGGGUCCGACGGUGAGGGACGAAAGCUAGGGGAGCGAACGGGAUUAGAUACCCCGGUAGUCCUAGCUGUAAACGAUGAGCACUAGUUCGAGGGGACCCCCACAUCCUCUUGGACGUAGCGAAAGUGUUAAGUGCUCCGCCUGGGGAGUAUGGUCGCAAGGCUGAAACUCAAAGGAAUUGACGGGGGCUCACACAAGCGGUGGAGGAUGUGGCUUAAUUCGAGGCUACGCGAAGAACCUUAUCCUGGUCUUGACAUGUACGGAUGGGCUGCCUGAAAGGGAUAGUCCCUGCCUUCGGGUGAAACGUACACAGGUGCUGCAUGGCCGUCGUCAGCUCGUGUCGUGAGAUGUCGGGUUAAGUCCCUUAACGAGCGAAACCCUUGUUCCUAGUUGCCAGCACGUAAUGGUGGGGACUCUAGGGAGACUGCCGGUGUUAAACCGGAGGAAGGUGGGGAUGACGUCAAGUCCUCAUGGCCUUUAUGCCCAGGGCUACACACGUGCUACAAUGGCGAGGACAGAGGGUCGCGAACCCGUGAGGGGGGAGCCAAUCCCACAAACCUCGUC
rnacentral:rRNA from 1 species